UGAACCUUGAGUGAGUGGUAACAUACACAGAUCACUGAUCACAGCUCAUCAUCACAAAUAUAAUAAUAACGAAAAAGUUUGAAAUAUUGCAAGAAUUACCAAAAUGUGACACAGAGA